rnacentral:rRNA from 1 species
ACAGGGGAGARACAUAUGGGCRACCUGGCCCAKWRACUGGGGUUACUUCCUCAAAACAGUGCUAAUACCCGAUAACRUUUUAUCUUGGAUAGGGGAGGAUUGAAAGACGGCUCCCGCUUGGASCGACCGAUAUCSCAUUAGCUAGUUGGYGAGGUAAAGGCUCACCAAGGUCACGAUCCGUAGCUGGWUUGAGAGGAUGACCAGCCWCACUGGGACUGAGACACGGCCCASACUCCUACGGGAGGCAGCAGAGGGGAAUUUUGGACAAUGGGGGAAACCCUGAUCCASUGAUCCCGCGUGUAUGAUGAAAGCCUUCGGGUUUUCGGUACUUUUGGUCUGUUGAAGGGAAUCCCCUAAUACGGGAUACUGCUGACGGUAUCUGCGAAUAARCMCCAAAUAACUACCUGCCUACRUGCGCGCAAAUACGGUAGGAGCUAGCGUUAAUCSGAAUUACUGAAUUUUUGGCGUGAGAGSGCGCGUCGGAGAKAUCUAUGUUCUGAUGUGWGASUCCACCUUUCAACUGUGUUUUUAACUGGCRAACUGGAGAACUUGAGAGGGGGGUAGAAUUCCGGAAUUCCCCG